AUUGAACGCUGGCGGCAUGCCCUACACAUGCAAGUCGAACGGUAACGGGUCUUCGGAUGCUGACGAGUGGCGAACGGGUGAGUAAUACAUCGGAACGUGCCUAGUAGUGGGGGAUAACUACUCGAAAGAGUGGCUAAUACCGCAUGAGAUCUACGGAUGAAAGCAGGGGAUCGCAAAACCUUGUGCUACUAGAGCGGCCGAUGGCAGAUUAGGUAGUUGGUGGGAUAAAAGCUUACCAAGCCGACGAUCUGUAGCUGGUCUGAGAGGACGAUCAGCCACACUGGGACUGAGACACGGCCCAGACUCCUACGGGAGGCAGCAGUGGGGAAUUUUGGACAAUGGGCGCAAGCCUGAUCCAGCAAUGCCGCGUGCAGGAUGAAGGCCUUCGGGUUGUAAACUGCUUUUGUACGGAACGAAAAGCCCUGGGUUAAUACCCUGGGGUCAUGACGGUACCGUAAGAAUAAGCACCGGCUAACUACGUGCCAGCCGCCGCCGUAA
rnacentral:rRNA from 1 species